rnacentral:siRNA from 1 species
CUAAUAGUUUCUGGAAUCUC